UCCCUGGUGGUCCAGUGGCUAAGACUCCACACUCCCAAUGCAGGGGGCCUGGGUUCAAUCCCUGGUCAGGGAA
rfam:TPA: Bos taurus chromosome 11, whole genome shotgun sequence.